AAAAAAAUUCCGUUUAUAUCAAGACAUAUUACCGUAAAACGAGGUGUCAUUGAUCAGCGGGGUAACAUUGAACAGUUUUACCCUUCUCAUGAAUAGUUGAAAUAAAACUGCUCCGUAAUUACUUUUACUAAAUUUAAGUAUAACAUCUUGGUCUUGUGUCAUUCGAGGUCUGAACAAUAUUGUAUUGAUUGAAAUUUUUUAUUGUUUUGAUGAACAAAUUUUAAAAUUAAUUUGACCGUUAUAUUUCUUACUCUCAGUAAGUGCCAAAAACAGCACUUUAUACAAGUCGAAUAUUGAACAUUUCGUAUUCAUUGACAUGUUUUCCAAAUUUGUUAUUUAAUUUUUUCAAUCAACUAAAAAAAAUUAUUCAAACUUAUUACAUUUACAGUUAAUUAAUUUAUAUUUGUUAAGAAAGUCUAGCUCCUACGCCUACGCCAGGAUGUUGUCUUAGCUAGAGCACAGAACGUAAGAAGCCUAUUAUACUGCCGUUGUUGGAAAGGCCUUGCAUAUAUGAUCAACAUACGUUUUCUGAACACAAACAUUUUACAACUAUUGCUGACUUUCAAAAUACUUUCGGGCAACUUCCGCGACCAACGUUUAUGUUUUUCAUCAUCGAAAGGUAAAGUUACAUAUGGCAUAAAAAUGCCUCGCAGUACAUACCGCAGCUAGGUGCAAGGACAGGACUAUCCUUCACAGUGAGAGCAGUCAAGGAGAACGUAAUGUCAAUCCGGGAAGCGUCCCUAUCCGAUCAUUAGAGCAUAACUAAAAAAUUACAAAAUUUUGUCAACGCUAGAUACAAAUAACAUAUUUUGAUACAAUUUUGUAUUUUUCCAUAUAAUUCUGAUAACAAAAUUGAAUCUGAAUGAGUUAUAAUAACAAAACCUGAAAUGAAGUAGUUCUGAAACAAGUCUAACUAAUUUUUCGUUUUUAUCAAAACCUGUUGUUUCUAACAAUGUUUGUUAUUAUAUUGUUCUAUAUACUAUCUUAUUUUGUUAGAAAGCUAACAAAUUUUGAUAUGGGUUUGAUACUAGCAGAAUCAUUUCUGCUAUAAUUUCUGUUAUUUUAACACCUAACGGGAUCAAAUUGAAAACACAGCCUGCCAUUCGUCAUCCAGUGUGGUUGUCGAAGCCUCAACUGCGAAGGAACUCUAAAUUCGUCCGCUAAUGCUUUGAGCAUCCUGCUCACUCAAACAGCAAACAACAGGACUAAGCACUUCAAAAUAGCACAACUCCUGGAACACAUUAAACCAGGGCCUCUGGCUGCGCAAACGUAAUCCGAAUGAUCUGCAAUCUCCUACACGCUGGCAAGUUCCAAUCCGGGUAAUUUCUCCCGCACGGCCGUAGUUGAUUUCGCACCGAUCCCCAAUGGCCUUUUCGUCCAGCACCGGAAACACAAAAUCGCGAUUCAAUUCCUGGGCGACAGCAGCACUGACAAUCACACACAUCACCAAAAAAAUAUUCAUUUCAAUAGUGGACACCAUUGUCACCCGGUUGAGAGUUGUGCGGAUUGAUUCUUCUCAACUAAAAAUAGUAACUGAGUAAAAUCAGUGGCCGCUGCCACACGCAGCAUCAAACACUCAACUGGUUCAGAUUUUCGAAGUAAAUACCCAACAUCUAACGCGAACAAGCGGGACCUCUACAGUACGAGCUCCAAAACCGGUUUUCGAAUAAAGAAGGAUUUCCCAGCACUCAUCAUCGCAUUAUCGCAUGUCUUUUUUAUUUCUAAGCCGGUGGCCACACGAUUGACUCAAUCCAAUCCAAAUACCAUGAGAUGCGGGUGUAUACACCAGGGAUGGUCGUCCCACAAACCUUUCCGAACGAUGUGAUGGCCACCAGUUGAAAAAUACAGUCCUCGUUUUUGUCACGCACCUGCAACGGACCACCGGAAUCGCCCUGACACGUGUCAUGUCCGCCGGACGCGUAUCCAGCGCAGAGCUGACUCCCAUGUAUACCUUGUGCCAGAGACGGUUGGCUGGCUAAAUCUUGGUACACCUGCUGACACUGCUCGUUAUUAUACUGGUCGAGCACCACUUUCAUCAAACGGUUGGCGCUGACGCCGACUGACGGAAGAGAAGAUUUAUUUUAGUACCCAUCCAAAAUAUAUGAUCAAUGAAUGAUUGCGUUUUUCUAUUUUUAAGCUCAUAUUACAUGUGGAAGGAAGUUUUCAAAUCCACCGAGUAGUGACCCAAAAAGUUUCGAUCUCUGUAAGGCGCCAUACCCGAUAGCAAUAAGCUUCGGUUCCGUCACUUCCGUCGACUGAUACAGGCAAGCUGGUCGAAUUCGUUGACUCAUCCGCACCAUUCCCAUCAGUUUAAUCAGUGCUAUAUCGUUAUACUUAUUUCGUAUCGUGUAACUCGGAUGCUUAAUGAACGAUUCAAUAUAGUAGUCAUCCGAAGCCGGCUCAUCUCCAGCUAUACCAAAUAACUCCGUGCUACCCAAUCGAACCAUAAAGGCGUCCCGAGUUCGACAGUGCCCUGCCGUCAGCACAAAGUUUUCACUGAUGAGAGAACCUCCGCAGUUGAAAUCGAUGCCGCUAGUAAAAUGUUGUCUUCGAUAACCGAUAGCUACCAUAUGGGGAAAUUCACCCGGUUGGGCCGCUUCACCUCCCACAAUCAGCUUGUUGUCCGUUGUACAUAGAUUACCGCGCUUCUGAAUUAGUUGAGUGUCCGGUUUAAGCCAGCUCAGGAUCUGAGUAGGCAUAGCCAAACGUGCGUAAUCUUUGCACUCUGAAAUAGAUCAUCAAAAUAUAAAUAGAGAUCAAAUUUAA